rnacentral:rRNA from 1 species
UACGGAGGAUCCGAGCGUUGUCCGGAUUUAUUGGGUUUAAAGGGUGCGUAGGCGGCUUUGUAAGUCAGUGGUGAAAUAUGGCAGCUCAACUGUCAAGGUGCCAUUGAUACUGCGGAGCUUGAGUACAGAUGAGGUAGGCGGAAUUGACGGUGUAGCGGUGAAAUGCUUAGAUAUCGUCAAGAACACCUAUAGCGAAGGCAGCUUACUAGGCUGUAACUGACGCUGAGGCACGAAAGUGUGGGGGAUCAAACAGG